rnacentral:rRNA from 1 species
UAACACAUGCAAGUCGAGCGCCCAGUAAUGGGAGCGGCGACGGGUGAGUAACACGUGGGAACAUGCCCUUCGGUACGGAAUAACUCAGGGAAAACUUGUGCUAAUACCGUAUGCGCCCUAACGGGGAAAGAUUUUAUCGCCGAAGGAUUGGCCCGCGUCUGAUUAGCUUGUUGUGGGGUAACGGCCCACCAAGGCUUCGAUCAGUAGCUGGUUUGAGAGAGCGACCAGCCACACUGGGACUGAGACACGGCCCAGACUCCUACGGGAGGCAGCAGUGGGGAAUCUUGGACAAUGGGGGAAACCCUGAUCCAACCAUGCCGCGUGAGUGAUGAAGGCCCUAGGGUUAGUAAACUCUUUCGGCGGGACGAUAAUGACGGUACCCGCAGAAGAAGCUCCGGCUAACUUCGUG